GAUGGAAAGAACUUUGAAAAGAGAGUGAAAAGCACUUGAAACCGUCACGGGGGAAGCGGAUUGCGUGAGUGAUGGUGUCGCUUGUUCAGCGCUUUAUUGCGUGCAUUCUGGCGGCGCCGUGCCGGCGUGGCUGGCUGGACUGUGAUUUUGACAGUCUCGGCUGGUGAGGGCUCCCUCGUAUGAGGUGAGGACGCGGGCAAAAUGACGCAAUACGACCCGUCUUGAAACACGGACCAAGGAGUCUAGCACGGCUGCGAGUCGAAGAGUGAUUAAACUCAAGGGCGAAGUGAAAGCGAAAUUAUAAGCAAAUUGGGGAGGCGUUGCGUUUUUAACAAAAUGUCCUACCUCGAGCAUUUGUGCUGGGACCCGAAAGAUGGUGAACUAUGCCGGAGUAGGGCAAAGCCAGAGGAAACUCUGGUGGAGGCUCGUAGCGAUGCUGACGUGCAAAUCGCUCGUCGAACUUGGGUAUAGGGGCGAAAGACUAAUCGAACCAUCUAGUAGCUGGUUCCCUCCGAAGUUUCUCUCAGGAUAGCGGGCCGACACGCGUUUGUUGUUUUGUGC
rnacentral:rRNA from 1 species